GUUUGAAGGGAAGCAGCUUGGUGCAGAACCAGGAGAGCCAGCCGCCUCAGUUAGAGCCUCGGAAUGAAGAUUCAGAGCACUCUGGACCCACUGAGAGACUUGCUCAUUUUCUGGGCACCAAAUAAUCCUCCCAAUUUUUAGAUAAACUAGAAGAUUUGGUGCCCAGCAUGAAGAAUAGUUCCUUUCAAGUACCUGUAUGUCCUGAAUGUAUUCCUUCCAGUGGGUUCUUGGUCUCGCUGACUUCAAGAAUGAAGCCUUGGACCCUCGUGGUGAGUGUUACAGUUCUUAAAGAUGGUGUAUCUGGAGUUUGUUCCUUCAGAUGUUCAGAUGUGUCCAGAGUUUCUCCAUUCCAGUGGGUUCGUGGUCUCGCUGACUUCAGGAGUGAAAUCGCAGACCUUUGCAGUGAGUGUUAUAGCUCUUAAAGGUAGUGCAGACCCAAAGAGUGAGCAGCAGCAAGAUUUAUUGGAAAGAGCAAAAGAACAAAGCCUCCACAGCAUGGAAGGGGACCGGAGCGGGUUACCUCUGCUGGCUUGGGUGGCCAGCU
rnacentral:lncRNA from 10 species